rnacentral:rRNA from 1 species
UGAACGCUGGCGGCGUGCCUAAUACAUGCAAGUCGAGCGAACAGACGAGGAGCUUGCUCCUCUGACGUUAGCGGCGGACGGGUGAGUAACACGUGGAUAACCUACCUAUAAGACUGGGAUAACUUCGGGAAACCGGAGCUAAUACCGGAUAAUAUAUUGAACCGCAUGGUUCAAUAGUGAAAGACGGUUUUGCUGUCACUUAUAGAUGGAUCCGCGCCGCAUUAGCUAGUUGGUAAGGUAACGGCUUACCAAGGCGACGAUGCGUAGCCGACCUGAGAGGGUGAUCGGCCACACUGGAACUGAGACACGGUCCAGACUCCUACGGGAGGCAGUAGUAGGGAAUCUUCCGCAAUGGGCGAAAGCCUGACGGAGCAACGCCGCGUGAGUGAUGAAGGUCUUCGGAUCGUAAAACUCUGUUAUUAGGGAAGAACAAAUGUGUAAGUAACUAUGCACGUCUUGACGGUACCUAAUCAGAAAGCCACGGCUAACUACGUG